rnacentral:rRNA from 1 species
AGAGUUUGAUCAUGGCUCAGAUUGAACGCUGGCGGUAUGCUUAACACAUGCAAGUCGAACGGUAACAGGCCUUCGGGUGCUGACGAGUGGCGGACGGGUGAGUAACGCGUAGGAAUCUGCCUCAUAGUGGGGGACAACUUGGGGAAACUCAAGCUAAUACCGCAUACGCCCUACGGGGGAAAGCGGGGGACCUUCGGGCCUCGCGCUAACAGAUGAGCCUGCGUUGGAUUAGCUAGUUGGUAGGGUAAAGGCCUACCAAGGCGACGAUCCAUAGCUGGUCUGAGAGGACGAUCAGCCACACUGGGACUGAGACACGGCCCAGACUCCUACGGGAGGCAGCAGUGGGGAAUAUUGGACAAUGGGCGCAAGCCUGAUCCAGCAAUACCGCGUGUGUGAAGAAGGCCUGAGGGUUGUAAAGCACUUUUAAUCGGGAGGAACACCUGUCAGCGAAUACCUGGCAGUAUGACAUUACCGAUAGAAAAAGCACCGGCUAACUCCGUGCCAGCAGCCGCGGUAAUACGGAGGGUGCAAGCGUUAAUCGGAAUUACUGGGCGUAAAGCGUGCGUAGGCGGCUGUUUAAGUCAGAUGUGAAAGCCCCGGGCUUAACCUGGGAACUGCAUUUGAUACUGGGCAGCUAGAGUUGAGUAGAGGAGAGGGGAAUUUCAGGUGUAGCGGUGAAAUGCGUAGAGAUCUGAAGGAACACCAGUGGCGAAGGCGCCUCUCUGGACUCAAACUGACGCUGAGGUACGAAAGCGUGGGUAGCAAACAGGAUUAGAUACCCUGGUAGUCCACGCCGUAAACGAUGUCAACUAGCCGUUGGUCUUAUUCGUAAGAUUAGUGGCGUAGCUAACGCGAUAAGUUGACCGCCUGGGGAGUACGGCCGCAAGGUUAAAACUCAAAGGAAUUGACGG